rnacentral:rRNA from 1 species
CACGUAGGGCGCAAGCGUUGUCCGGAAUUAUUGGGCGUAAAGAGCUCGUAGGCGGUCUGUUGCGUCGGCUGUGAAAACCCGGGGCUCAACUCCGGGCCUGCAGCCGAUACGGGCAGACUAGAGUUCGGCAGGGGAGACUGGAAUUCCGUGGUGUAGCGGUGAAAUGCGCAGAUAAUCAGGAGGAACACCGGUGGCGAAGGCGGGUCUCUGGGCCGAAUGACUGACGCUGGAGGAGC